GGAGUGGGUUGCCAUUUCCUUCUCCAGGGGAUCUUCCUGACCCAGGGAUUGAACCCAGGUCUCCCACUUUGUAGGCAGCCGCUUUACCGUCUGAGCCACCGGGGAAGCCCAGGGAUUCCUAGACUAACAGCUUGCAAGCCUCCGUUUCCCAGUCUUUACACAGCUCCUUAGAAUCUGCUGCAGAUGAAAUGAGAAGCUUAGGAGGGUAGUCCUUGGAUGUGGACUUUCUGAGCCAGGAUUUGAAAACUCGAUGGGUCAUCAGAUUGUCCUCCAUGAUCCUGUCCACGCUGGAGGUGACCACUCUGUAAUGUUUCAGCCAAUUUGAUAGGUGGAAAACAUCUCUCAGUCUCCCUGCAUUGUCCUGAUCACUAGCGGCGCUAACACCUUCUAGAAAGCUAAGCCGUUAUCACGUGCUGCCACGGAAACAGCUUAGAACUACACAUGCCAACCUUUGCACAGGAAAAAACAAACUGCGGCAAGGCCAUAACAUCCCGGGAUUCGCUGCAGAUGCAUUUAGGUGGUGGGUCUACAAGGUCUCCACAAUUAACAUGUGCUACUUUAAUUUUAUUUUCUGAACAUUAUCUUGAAGUAUAAUGUAUCCACAGAAAAGCACCCAUGUUAUAAAAUGCCCAGCUUUAUAGCUUUUCACAAACUGAACCUACCUGUGUAGUCAACAUCCCAUCAAGAAACCUCACCAGCGUCCUAGAAGUCACCUUCGGGUGACCCGACCCCAGGUCCCCACCUCCCGCCCUGGGAUCACCCCACCCGCUCUCCUGAUUAAAACACCAGAGAUGUGUCCUCCCUGUUUCUAAACUUGGUAC